UACGAAGGGGGCUAGCGUUGUUCGGAUUUACUGGGCGUAAAGCGCACGUAGGCGGCUAUUCAAGUCGGGUGUGAAAGCCCCGGGCUCAACCUGGGAAUUGCAUUCGAUACUGGAUAGCUAGAGUUCGGCAGAGGGAAGCGGAAUUUCCGGUGUAGCGGUGAAAUGCGUAGAUAUCGGAAGGAACAUCAGUGGCGAAAGCGGCUUCCUGGACCAGAACUGACGAUCAGGCUCGAAAGCGUGGGGAGCAAACAGGA
rnacentral:rRNA from 1 species